GCAUUGAUAGUUUAGAGGCAAAAUCUCCGCUUCCCAAGCGGAGGUCCCGGGUUCGAUUCCCGGUCAAUGCA